rnacentral:misc_RNA from 1 species
UAAUUCUCAAAAAUUACAUAUUAAUUUAUUAGUGUGUGAUUUUUGGAUCGUGGCUGUUUGCUGGUUAUUUGUUUAAUCGGCUCAGCUGAAAUUGAAUAGCUGACUUGUUAUUUCUUGAGAAGUUAAGAAGUUUGUCAGAAUCUUCGGCGUGAUAAUUUGUUACGCAGUUUUGCUGACAAUAUAAACGACUUUAUUUCAAAGGAUAUAAGAAAAGUUGCUUCGAACUUUUAUUAUUACUAUUA